CACGCCCCCUCUCCCUUCUUCUCUUUUCCUUAUCUUUCUCUUUUCUUCUUUCUCCCUUCUCUGUCGCCGCACCUCAGCAGCCCUUCUCCUUCUUUUCUCUUCUUCUCCUUUCCUCUCCUUCGGUCGCCCAAACUAGCAGCAACCCAACCCCCUUCCUCUUCAUUUCCUUUAUUCUCUUCCCUUUCUUUCAUUUUCCUUUCUUUCUUCUCUUUCUCUCUUGGAUCCGCAGCAACCCUUUCCCUUUCCUCUUCUUUUCGUCUCACCCCAUCACACGCACACAGUGAUGUAGAGAUUAAGAGGAGAGAUCUGGCCAUUGAAGAGAAGAAGAGUGAAAUAAAUGGGUUCCGACCAUGAGGCACGUAAAGUGGAGACUUCAAUUGUUCUCCAACGAUGAGUUCAAGGUAACUAGAAUGUCGGGAUAUUCGAGUCAUGGGUCCAAUGCAGCCAAGUUACUGUUGCAGAUUUGGAAGAUGAAGGCAUGGACCCAUAUGCCAGUUUUGAUGGUUUUGAAACCAUUAUUGGAUUAUUAUGUACUAGCCUUGAAAUAGCUAGUUGUAUUUAUGUGUGUUUUCUUUUAUGGCAUGUGAAGGCUUAUAACAAUGUUACGCUUGGCAUGUUUUAUGUUAUAUGCUUGUGUGCCUUCUGUGGCACUAAUUUUGAUGCACCUAGUGUGCAUAUGGAAUGU